rnacentral:rRNA from 1 species
GACGAACGCUGGCGGCGUGCUUAACACAUGCAAGUCGAACGGUGAAGGGAUCAGCUUGCUGGUUCUGGAUGAGUGGCGAACGGGUGAGUAACACGUGAGUAACCUGCCCCCUUCUUCUGGAUAACCGCAUGAAAGUGUGGCUAAUACGGGAUAUUCUGCGCCUGCUGCAUGGUGGGUGUGGGAAAGAUAUUGUUUCGGUGGGGGAUGGGCUCGCGGCCUAUCAGCUUGUUGGUGGGGUGAUGGCCUACCAAGGCGGUGACGGGUAGCCGGCCUGAGAGGGUGGACGGUCACACUGGGACUGAGACACGGCCCAGACUCCUACGGGAGGCAGCAGUGGGGAAUAUUGCACAAUGGGCGCAAGCCUGAUGCAGCGACGCCGCGUGAGGGAUGGAGGCCUUCGGGUUGUGAACCUCUUUCGCCAGUGAAGCAGGCCUGUCCCUGGUGGGUGGGUUGACGGUAGCUGGAUAAGAAGCGCCGGCUAACUACGG